GGCAGUGGUGCCUCAACGGUUAGGGCUCUGGGUUACUGCUCAGAAGAUCAGGGGUUCAAGCCCCAACGCUGCCA